rnacentral:lncRNA from 1 species
AAGUUCUAUUUUACCUUCCAAAAUCAGGUAUCCAAUGCAUUCUUAAGCAAACUUUACAAAAUAUAACAAUGGCCAUAUAAUACAUAGAGUACAUUUUGUUUCUAACUAAGCUAAGCAAUCCUCGUUGCUAAAUUACUAUUGAUUAAUGAGACAUCUGAGAAAACAAUAAUCAAGAGAUCCUAAUCUCUAACAAAUGGUGUCUUAGAGAGACUACAAGGCUUUCUUCUUAUAUUUCUAUUUAUAUCUAAGGUAGUACAAUUCAUAUGGAACAAAUAAACCUCCCUUUUUAUAAAGAUUUCACUAAUUUUUAAUCUUCCUAUUUCUAUUAG